rnacentral:ncRNA from 15 species
GUCCCAGUAGGGUAGCGGAUAUCCUUUAGGCCUGCGGAGCCUAAGACCCGGGUUCAAGUCCCGGCUGGGACG